rnacentral:lncRNA from 1 species
CUUCUGUUCAGAGUAAGCAAAACUUGCACUCAGAUUCAUACUGGGCCUUUAUUCAGCAUCACAAUACAUACGUUCAUCUGACUCCCAAGUCCUUGCAAGUAGUUUGCAAACCUCAGCUGGAUCUCUAAAUUACAAAUACACUGUAUUGAGAGGGUUAAGUGCUACAGAGUAAAAUUAUAAAUAGUUGCUGAAUGAACAAGAAGAUGCUAAGCUUACUCACUGGACAUCGUGAAGAAGCAAGUGUGUUCAGAAUCUUAUCUCUGAAGUUAAGAUGGUGCAGAGGAGCCUAAAUCCUAUACUGUGAACCUGUGUGAAUGUCUGGCUUCUUAUGCACUCAGGAAAGAGUUAGCUCUGGUCUGUUCCAUCAUGUAUUGCGACUUUCUUGGACUCAUAAAAGGCAUGACUUAUACCAACCGGAAUUGAGUGGAGGCACACUCUGGACAGAAAAGACGGUAUCAAAAUCUAGUUAAGUAGUGCAUUACAAGAGUUUCACCCCCAUGGUAAGUUUCAUGGCUUUCAUGACUCUUGAGGGGGAAAUUUUCAGUGUGGUGAAUGGGGAAUUAGAUGUGCAACUGCCAUUGCUGUUAAUGGGAAUGGUGGUGAGAUUUCUAACACUUCACAUUGUCAGUUCAUCCUUUGAUGUUUAGGUCAUGCUUCAGGGCAAAGACUAGGUUUUAAAACAUUACAAUUGACAGCGGAAAUCGAAAGGAAUACAUUUGCAAUUUCUUAAAUUCAACUUACACUGCCUUUCAUUGACUUCUCAAGAUAUUCAAGAAAGCUAUAAAAGAUGAUAUAAUCAAAAGGAUACCAGAAACAAACUUUUUAAUGUCUGUUUCUAACAUAUGUAAUUUCUAGUAGCACCUAAUCUGAAAAUACCUUUCAGUGUGCCUGUUGUAAACUUUCCUAAAACAUUUAGAUAUUUAGAUCCAAUGUUUUCAGUAUUCAAAUAUGUCAUUAGAUUAUUUGCUAUUUCAGAAGAAACCUUUCCUUUUCACUAAGAAAAAAAAAAAAACCUCCUCAAUUAUAAAUCUUUUUCUUCACAAAGGAAAAAUAUUCCUUUAUAUUUGUUAGAAGCUAGAGUUUACAACAAUUAUUUUAAAAGCAUUUAAUUUUUUUAAAAAUGAUGAUGUUUGUUUCUAGAAAAAAAAUUAACAGGGAAAAUGCUAAUUUCAUAAUUUUCUGGGUAGGACUGCAGCAAUAUCUUAAUAUCCAGCUCCAGCAAAGCUCUCACACUCUUACUUAACUGUAAGUAUAUGCUUUGUCAGAUCACUCAAUGUUAGAAUCUUGUUAAAAGCAGUUGUGGAUCUGGCUCUACGAAACCAUCAGCAACAUCAUAUGUAUUCAGAAACGUUCACUUGUUUUUGUGAUGAAUUUUCCUUAUGUCUACUUCACUAAGAAUAUUCCAUGCCUGCAGUGGUCUUGCUAGAUAUUUAAAUGAUAUUCUACAUUUUAAAGUAGAAAGAUUAAGUCAUAACUAUAAGGCAUAAAACUAUAAAACUUUGGCUGAAGUUCUAAUCCAAUGUACCAUCGUUUUACAUACUUAGGUGAUGAAAGUUACCCCAAUUUGAUACACAAAAAACUCAUGACCACUGUUUGUUUUAAGGAAAAUUCACAACUUAACAGUGAUGAUAUGUCACAGGAGAAAUCAGAAUUAUCUCUACUAAAAUAACAGCAAUUACAGGUUUUUUAUACAGUGGAAGUGAUGGCAAAGCCAGGCUAUAUCAGGCUGUAUAAGCUAUAACACAGAACCAAAGGAGGCAACACAGAAGUAACCAAUGGGUGAGAUACAGAGUAGGGCAAACCUCAUUCUGAUGACUUGUAUAGUAACUUUGCUUUCCAUGGGCUUGGAGGUGAUCCUUUCUACAUAGAUGACUUCUAUUCAAAAAGAAUAUGAAAAGUAAUUAUGUGGCUUUUACUUUUCUAACCUUCCAAUUGGUAGAAAGGUAAACAAAGAAAAAAACUUACAUCUUGUGUGACAUUGCUAUGUUUUCUAAUAUACUUGGAUUCAGAUUUUAUGCUGUUAUGAACAGCCAUAACAAAGAUAAACCUAGAAUGUUACAGAUAUUUAUAGACAUGAGAGUGAAUUCAUCCAGAAUGGGACUGCUCUGUAGCUGAUGCAAAUACUUACACUUCUACUGAUCUAGAAGAGAGAGAGUAAUUCGUGCUAUAGCAUCUCACAACCUGGUGGUUAAUGAUUACCUGCAUACAGGAGCAGAAAACAGUUUCCAAAGCAUCCGUGCUCUCUGUCACAGUUUUUAAUAAAUGUUCUACAACGCUCCUUUUGUGUUGCCCA